GAUGAACGCUGGCGGCGUGCCUAACACAUGCAAGUCGAACGGAAAGGCCCUGAGCUUGUGCGGUGCACGAGUGCCGCACGGGUGAGUAAAACGCGUGUAUCCUCCCCUUGUCUUUCGGAUAAAUUCACGUAACUGCGGCUAAUAUACCAUAGGAUCUCCUGCAGCACGGGGGGGGAUGGAAAAUUUCGGCUGUUGUGGAUGGACUAGCGGCUUAUCAGCUUGUUGGUGGGGUUGUGGCUUACCAAGGCUUUGACGGGUAGCCGGCCUGAGAGGGUGACCGGCCACAAUGGGACUAAGAGACGGAGCAGUCGCCUACGGUAGGCAGCAGUGGGGAAUAUUACACAAUGGGCGGAAGCCUGAUGCAGCGACGCCGCGUGCGUGAUGACGGCUUUCGGGUUGUGAACCGCUUUCGCCUGUGACGAAGCGUGAGUGACGGUAAUGGGUAAAGAAGCACCGGCUAACUACGUG
rnacentral:rRNA from 1 species